rnacentral:rRNA from 1 species
AUUGAACGCUGGCGGCAUGCUUUACACAUGCAAGUCGAACGGUAACAGGGUGCUUGCACCGCUGACGAGUGGCGAACGGGUGAGUAAUGCGUCGGAACGUGCCGAGUAGUGGGGGAUAACGCAUCGAAAGGUGUGCUAAUACCGCAUACGUACUGAGGUAGAAAGUGGGGGACCUUCGGGCCUCACGCUAUUCGAGCGGCCGACGUCUGAUUAGCUAGUUGGUGAGGUAAAGGCUCACCAAGGCGACGAUCAGUAGCGGGUCUGAGAGGAUGAUCCGCCACACGGGGACUGAGGCACGGCCCAGACUCCUACGGGAGGCAGCAGUGGGGAAUUUUGGACAAUGGGCGCAAGCCUGAUCCAGCCAUGCCGCGUGUCUGAAGAAGGCCUUCGGGUUGUAAAGGACUUUUGUCCGGGAGCAAAUACCCAGUGCUAAUAACGCUGGGGGCUGAGAGUACCGGAAGAAUAAGCACCGGCUAACUACGUGCCAGCCGCCGCCGUAACAC